rnacentral:lncRNA from 1 species
ACACAAACACACACACACACACAUUGCUGGAAUUGUGUGUGUGUGUGUGUGUGUGUGUGUCCCCCCCCCCACACACACACACACACACACACACACACACACACACACACACACACACACACACACACACACACACACAUACUGCUGGAAUUGUGUGUGUGUGUGUGUGUGUGUGUGUGUGUGUGUAUGUGUAUAUAUAUAUAUAUAAACACACACACACAUUGCACAAGCCUUAUUCAACCAGCUAGUAUAAUCGCAGUCCACAUGAUUAACAGUAACUUGCCUCAGGCAUAAUAUGACACCGGCGUCUGCAUUCGUCAUCAGGACACCGAGCGUUCCACAUCAACCGUGAUGCAAUAAAUAUCGGACGAAAGCCAGAGGAUCCGGAAAAGCCAGAUAAGCGAAUCGUUUCCGAAUUAGAUUGUGGCAGUAGGAGGUGUGGUCGUGGUGCGGUUUGGAGGUCUGCCCGGUUUGCCACCCCGUCGUGGGUCUCCCCUUCCGUCGCAUCCUCUCACUACUGGCUUCAUGCAUCGAACGACCCUGGGUGGUGGUGCUUCAUGUGGGCGCAUCCCCACGCACAUUCACUCAUUUUGUGACCGUGGUGAUCGGUGUCUCGUUGUGGUUCCCAAGUCAUUGAAAUAGUACGAUAACCAUUUCGUUCUUCGAGCCAAAGUGGAUGCAACAACCUUCAUCUCUCAAGACCAUUAAACUGAGAUGGAGUGCUGGAAGACCAAAGACUCUCAGCAACAUUCCCUGAGCCUGCUUGAAGGCUUGUUGAGAUUCUCACAGGAUGGAGGUAAAAAUUGCUUGCCCACCAACCAAUCGGAGAAAGACUACUAUUUGUCUACAAAAGUAACACAAAGCCAAGGCACCCAGACAGAUUUGACUUCUGAGCCUACAGAUGUUGAGUCAAAGGUCAAAGGCUCUCACACCUUUCCGAAGCCCAGAGGGUGUCAGCUGGCUUUGUGCAGUCCCUACGGACCUUUCGGAACAUGCCGUAGACAUCAAAUGGACAAGAACAUCCUGGCGGAGCGAUGCAAUGAUCUUGAAGCUGAACGCGCAGAGCUGAAAGCAGAGAACUCGCGCUUGCAGCUGGAACUGGUGAUAUCUGAAGCACAAUACGACUCGCUGCGUGUCCGGCACGAGACGAUGCGAGAACAGACUCUUGCCUUCCUCCUGCAGCAGAUGGACACAUUUCACAUUCAACGGGACUCACUCGUCUGAAGUUUUCGAUGCAACGUCUGGGAGAUUCACUUUGUCCGUAUUUCAGAAAAACAUAAAAACCGCUACGUGAGUAAACAUUGGAGGCUAAAACCUUCAACACGAAUAUAUUUAUUACAUUUUUCAAUGUGACAAGUAUGGAAAACAAGUUGGAAUUCUUGUGAUUUGCACAUUAGUAAUGCUGUAACAAAUUUCAUUGUGCAUGCCAAAUUUACUCCGCUGGUAAAAUCGGUGCAUUUACAACGUGAAUUGAAGUAAGAUUAUUGUUUCAAAAGGUUGGAGAAAAUGUACUUUUUUUGAUUGAUACUUCUCCUUCCAUUUCAAAAUGCAGACGACUAUGUUGGAAAGAUAAAUUCAAAUGCUCAAUUGAUGUGUUCAACAGACCAUUUUUUCAAUAAAUAUCAAUGUCAAACAAGAUUUGCAACAUUAACGUGCCGAAGGAAGGGAGUACUGUUUUUACUCUUUGUUUGUUUGUUUGUCUGGGCGAUAUAUCAGCCAUCGUUUGAGUGAGGAAGCUGAAAUUUGGAGAUAAAAGUGAAGAUGUGCUUUGUCAAAAACAGUAUUUUUAUUUUUUGAUUCAUAAAUUCAUUGUUUAAUUACUUAAUUAUUAUCGAUUUAUUAAUUCCUUAUUUAUUUUCUUUCUCAUCCGGGCAAUAAUCUCGGGCACCCUUUGAGCUUGGAAACUGAUAUUUGGACACGACAGUGACCAAGUGAUUUGGCUAUAAAGGGUGUUUUUGAUGAAUCAAUUAAUUAUUCAUUUUUCGAUUAAUUAUUUAAUUUUCAGGAGCCAAUUUUUCCAAAACUUACAGAUUCGGAUGAAACGGUGGCGGUUUCGGUAUACUAUUCGGCAAUUGAUUGAGAAAUCAAUUAUUUUAUGAUUAUCAUUUAUUUAUUUUAAUUAUACAAUUAAUUAUUGUACACCGCUCCCUCCCAAUUCCAUCUCCAUGUGCUGCAUGUCAGCAUUGCCAGGCACCCCGGAAAUGUUGCGUGCUGGAGGAUUGUUAUUUAUUUAUUUGACGGGGGUGGUGUACUUUGAAUGUAUCUCUACUUGUGUAGUUUAUGUCUAACAAGACAAAGUAUAAUUAACAUUAUUAAAGGAAAUAGUGUACAGAAAUCUGUAGUACACACAGGAAUUAUCGAGCGAGAACGAGUUUGCAUCCUCUCAGUUGGCCCCAAACAAGCAUGCACAGACUUUCAUAAAAACCAAGAAGCAACAAUGAAACUGACAGCACGUGUCCUUUGAAAAGAGUCGGUGAGCUUGCGCCGGCACCCGAUCUUAAUGACAAAUUCCUUUUGUAACCUACAGGGGGCACUGCAUCAGUGGCAUCACUGCCCCUACCAGAACAGAUGGUUUAAGGGAAGGAGGCAGGGUUAUGAGCAAAGGCGGGCGGUCAGUAAGAAUGAUCUGAAUGUGGUGUGAAGGAAGUACAAGAAUAUGUUUUUUCAAAAGCUCAUCUCAUUUGCAAUGUAUUCCUGGUUUGGGAAGUGGUUUCUAAUAAUCCUGGAGAACUCCUUGAAGGAUUCCAUCAUAGCCAUCGUCAUGCUGGCUCUUUCACCCGGCACCGAGUGACCAAAAUUGAACUGGGUUAGCCUUCUCAAACUAGCGAUGAAUCCUUUGCUUUUGGCAGAGAAAGAAUGUUAAAAAAAAC